GGGACCCCGUCGAUUCAUGCCUAUUCCACGGAGUUCGCGUUGACAGACUGUACCUUGCUGAGGGAAGUUUCCGGCGGAUGGGUGGAGUAACACGUGGGUAACCUGCCUGUACAUUGCGAUAACACCUGGAGGCGGACCUUUGCCGGAUGCUUGUUUGAACCGCAUGGAUCAAAAUAAAGGGUGGCGUCGGCUACCUCUUACUGAUGGACCUGCGGCGCAUAACUAGUUGGUGAGGUAACGGCUCACCAAGGCAACGAUGCGUAGCCCACCUGAGAGGGUGAUCGGCCACGCUGGGACUGAGACACGGCCCAGACUCCUUUGGGAGGCAGCCGUAGGGAAUCUUCCGCAAUGGACGAAAGUCUGACGGAGCAACGCCGCGUGAGUGAUGAAAGGUUUUCGGAUCGUAAAGCUCUGUUGUUAGGGAAGAACAUGUACCGUUCGACAUAGGGCGGUACCUUGACGGUACCUAACCAGAAAGCCACGGCUAAACUACGUGCCACCAGCCGCGGUAAUACGUAGGUGGCAAGCGUUGUCCGGGAAUUAUUGGGCGUAAAGGGCUCGCAGGCGGUUUCUUAAUGUCUGAUGUGAAAGCCCCCGGCUCAACCGUGGAGGGUCAUUGGAAACUGGGGAACUUGAGUGCAAAAGGAGAGUGGAAUUCCACGUGUACGGUGAAAUGCGUAGAGAUGUGGAGGAACACCAGUGGGGGAAGGCGACUCUCUGGUCUGUAACUGACGCUGAGGAGCGAAAGCGUGGGGAGCGAACAGGAUUAUAUACCCUGGUAGUCCACGCCGUAAAAGAUGAGUGCUAAGUGUUAGGGGGUUUCCGCCCCCUAGUGCUGCCGCUAACGCAUUAAACACUCCGUCUGGGGAUUACGGGCGCCAGACUGAACUCAAAGGAUUGACGGGGGGCCGCACCAGCGGUGGAGCUUGUGGUGUUAUUCGAAGCACACGAAAAACCUACCCGGUCGUUGACAUCUUCUGACAAUCUAAAGAUAAGACGUCCCCUUCCGGGGCAGAGGGACAAGUGGAGGAUGGUGUCGUCACCUCAUGUCGCUGAGAUGUGGAGAUAGUCCCCCACACCGCAACCUGAUCUUAGUGGUC
rnacentral:rRNA from 1 species